GCCUUAGAUACCGUCGUUUAGGGCGGAGAUUGAAGAUUAUUCACUUAGCGGAGAUUGAGGAUUAUUCACUUACCAAACUUAACUUCUACUGGUCAAAUAAUUUUAUCAUUAAAGUUCCCUUUGUUUUAUUGUUUUAGGAAAACAGUGAAGAUCUUAUUCGAAUCCUCCAUCUCCGCUAUCUUGCUUUUGCUCUAGGUCAUACUUUCAUAGCGUGUUUGCUUAUCGGAGAACCUGCAGAGAGAAGCUUGGUAAGAACUGAAAUCAGAUUUCAUCAGGACUUCUACAGUUUUCUUCAGUCCAUGAGCAAUUAUGGAACGCGAGUUUCUCGGGAGUGAAGGAUGAUCCAGACAAGAGCGAAUUGAUCUGAUAGCCAUGUGGUUUUCUUUCUUAAAAUCCAAGGAUCGGUUCCCUUUGGGCGAACUCAGGUUUAACUUUUUGUUUAAUCGCGUCGAUCUCGCAACAUGUUCUAUAUACGAUGUAUCUAUGUUUUGCAUAACUCCACUUCUGACAUUAUAUACGGUGUCCUUGAAUGUGAAUCAAUCAAUUCUUUUCGGAAGUAAAAUUGAAAGGUUGCAGUUAUUUUGUUUGGGUUUGGGUUUCUGGAAAGUUGAUUCUUUAAUGGAUUUCUGCCAUAGAAAACUAUUUAGCUUCAUCUUACCAAGUUAUAGUUAGGGGUUAACUUUAUAGAAAUUGUGCAGGUCAAGUGUCCUAUCUUUUCCAUUGGAGAAUGAGUAUGUCUUUGUUGAUUUUAGCACCUGAUAAAGCCUAAGUGGUUUCUUUGUAGGCAGACCUGAGAAAAAGUCAGGUAGUGAACGAGGCCUGUUAGGUUAGUGGCAAGUGUCUUUACAUCUCAAUAAACUUUGUCUUGGCAUUAUUGUUUGCUUUUUUGUUAAGCUUUGAUCUUUGAGCAAUCAUAUAAUCUGCUGAAAUUUUCUGAUAUGCAUCUUGACUUGGUUUACUAAACGCCUGCAGCACCUAAGACGACCUUAUGUUCUCUAGAGUGCCAGAAAAUAUAAGGGAAAAAUUUACCUCUUAUAUGUAACAAGGUAGUUAUUAAGCCCCACAAAAUUGUGAGGAAGCUUGCAAGAGUGCAACACCUAUAUUUACAGCUGGCGGGGAAGUUUAGGAGGGGAGAUGACAAGGUGAGAUAAUAAUAUUCAAUAAUUUACAUCACACAAUCAUCUAGAUUGCUUGAAGUUAAGUGAUGUGAGUGUUUUUGUCCAGACUCUUUUUUCUUCUAAUUUGGUUCUUUGUCUUAUGGUCUACUUACAAUUUGACUCGCACACUGCUUUACAAUUUGUGAGCUUCCAGACUAAUCAUGAAGCUAGACUCAGUUUAUUUUCUUAACAUUAAUUGGAAAAAAUUGACAUUGUUGUCAUUGCAGUCUAAAAUCAUUAUGCGCAUGCCCACCUCUAAUCAAAUGUAAAUGAAUUGUGAAGUUCUCUUUGACAAGUGCUAGGAAAUGCCAGAGGUGCAGUAGCAGUGGUGGUUAAUAUUCAAGAAUCAUGUCUCGGUGACUGGAAUGUUAGAUUACUUUCUCACCGUCUGCGGAGUUAUCCGCUACAGAGAAGCCAAGAAACAAAGCACGUCAAUGAUAAAUAAAAAUUUACAUUGUUUUAUUUGUUAGCUCCUCAGGUAAACGCAAAGCAAUUUUUUUUGCUGUGAACAAAAACCCUUACACAGAAAAAGAUUGUAAAGCAACACCGAAGGAUUAGAGAACCAAACGCGAUCAGUUACAUUACUUCUCAAA